UAUUGUAUUGCGUUAGACGCGGCAUACAUUCCAUAAGACUUUAUUACAGAGUGUGUGUAAAGACGUAGAACCACGGCAGGAAGACAGGGUCCCCCAGACCAUAGAACUACGGAGGGUGCACAGGUGUGAGUGGAUGUGUAAACAGAGCGUGCACAUGUCCCCGUUUGAAGACCAGCAACAACCCGUUUGACAAUUCGGUAAUGAUCCUUCCGCAGGUUCACCUACGGAAA
rnacentral:misc_RNA from 1 species